CUACGGGUGGCUGCAGUGAGGAAUAUUGGUCAAUGGGCGAGAGCCUGAACCAGCCAAGUCGCGUGAAGGAUGACUGUCUUAUGGAUUGUAAACUUCUUUUGUAGGGGAAUAAAGACUGGCACGUGUGCUGGAGUGAAUGUACCCUACGAAUAAGCAUCGGCUAACUCCGUGCCAGCAGCCGCGGUAAUACGGAGGAUGCGAGCGUUAUCCGGAUUUAUUGGGUUUAAAGGGUGCGUAGGCGGCCUGUUAAGUCAGCGGUGAAAUCUAGGGGCUUAACUCCUAAAUUGCCAUUGAUACUGGUGGGCUUGAGUGUAGAUGAGGUAGGCGGAAUGCGUGGUGUAGCGGUGGAAUGCAUAGAUAUCACGCAGAACUCCAAUUGCGAAGGCAGCUUACUAAGGUACAACUGACGCUGAAGCACGAAAGCGUGGGUAUCAAACAGGAUUAGAUACCCGUGUAGUC
rnacentral:rRNA from 1 species